rnacentral:rRNA from 1 species
AUUGAACGCUGGCGGCAGGCCUAACACAUGCAAGUCGAGCGGAUGACGGGAGCUUGCUCCUUGAUUCAGCGGCGGACGGGUGAGUAAUGCCUAGGAAUCUGCCUGGUAGUGGGGGACAACGUUUCGAAGGGAACGCUAAUACCGCAUACGUCCUACGGGAGAAAGCAGGGGACCUUCGGGCCUUGCGCUAUCAGAUGAGCCUAGGUCGGAUUAGCUAGUCGGUGGGGUAAUGGCUCACCAAGGCGACGAUCCGUAACUGGUCUGAGAGGAUGAUCAGGCACACUGGAACUGAGACACGGUCCAGACUCCUACGGGAGGCAGCAGUGGGGAAUAUUGGACAAUGGGCGAAAGCCUGAUCCAGCCAUGCCGCGUGUGUGAAGAAGGUCUUCGGAUUGUAAAGCACUUUAAGUUGGGAGGAAGGGCAGUAAGUUAAUACCUUGCUGUUUUGACGUUACCGACAGAAUAAGCACCGGCUAACUCUGUGCCAGCAGCCGCAGUAAAAC